rnacentral:rRNA from 1 species
GCGAGAAAACUUUGCAAUGUGCGAAAGCACGACAAGGUUAAUCCGAGUGGUUUCUGCUAAAGAAACCUUUUGUCAGUCCUAGAAACACUAACGAAUAAGGGGUGGGCAAGUUCUGGUGUCAGCCGCCGCGGUAAAACCAGCACCUCAAGUGGUCAGGAUGAUUAUUGGGCCUAAAGCAUCCGUAGCUCGUUUUGUAAGUUUUCGGUUAAAUCCAUGCGCUUAACGUAUGGGCUGCCGGGAAUACUGCAUAACUAGGAAGUGGGAGAGGUAGACGGUACUCGGUAGGAAGGGGUAAAAUCCUUUGAUCUAUUGAUGACCACCUGUGGCGAAGGCGGUCUACCAGAACACGUUCGACGGUGAGGGAUGAAAGCUGGGGGAGCAAACCGGAUUAGAUACCCAAGUAGUCCCUGAGCGGGCUGGCAAGGCGCAU